GGGUUGUGAGGUUAAGCGACUAAGCGUACACGGUGGAUGCCCUGGCAGUCAGAGGCGAUGAAGGACGUGCUAAUCUGCGAAAAGCGUCGGUAAGGUGAUAUGAACCGUUACAGCCGGCGAUGUCCGAAUGGGGAAACCCAGUGCAAUUCGUUGCACUAUCGUUAACUGAAUACAUAGGUUAACGAGGCGAACCGGGGGAACUGAAACAUCUAAGUACCCCGAGGAAAAGAAAUCAACCGAGAUUCCCCCAGUAGCGGCGAGCGAACGGGGAGCAGCCCAGAGUCUGAAUCAGCUUGUGUGUUAGUGGAACGGUCUGGAAAGUCCGACGGUACAGGGUGAUAGUCCCGUACACCAAAAUGCACAGGUUGUGAACUCGAAGAGUAGGGCGGGACACGUGGUAUCCUGUCUGAAUAUGGGGGGACCAUCCUCCAAGGCUAAAUACUCCUGACUGACCGAUAGUGAACCAGUACCGUGAGGGAAAGGCGAAAAGAACCCCGGCGAGGGGAGUGAAAAAGAACCUGAAACCGUGUACGUACAAGCAGUGGGAGCACCUUCGGGUGUGACUGCGUACCUUUUGUAUAAUGGGUCAGCGACUUAUAUUCUGUAGCAAGGUUAACCGUAUAGGGGAGCCGCAGGGAAACCGAGUCUUAACUGGGCGUUAAGUUGCAGGGUAUAGACCCGAAACCCGGUGAUCUAGCCAUGGGCAGGUUGAAGGUUGGGUAACACUAACUGGAGGACCGAACCGACUAAUGUUGAAAAAUUAGCGGAUGACUUGUGGCUGGGGGUGAAAGGCCAAUCAAACCGGGAGAUAGCUGGUUCUCCCCGAAAGCUAUUUAGGUAGCGCCUCGUGAACUCAUCUUCGGGGGUAGAGCACUGUUUCGGCUAGGGGGUCAUCCCGACUUACCAACCCGAUGCAAACUACGAAUACCGAAGAAUGUUAUCACGGGAGACACACGGCGGGUGCUAACGUCCGUCGUGAAGAGGGAAACAACCCAGACCGCCAGCUAAGGUCCCAAAGUCAUGGUUAAGUGGGAAACGAUGUGGGAAGGCACAGACAGCCAGGAUGUUGGCUUAGAAGCAGCCAUCAUUUAAAGAAAGCGUAAUAGCUCACUGGUCGAGUCGGCCUGCGCGGAAGAUGUAACGGGGCUAAACCAUGCACCGAAGCUGCGGCAGCGACACUAUGUGUUGUUGGGUAGGGGAGCGUUCUGUAAGCCUGCGAAGGUGACCUGUGAGGGUUGCUGGAGGUAUCAGAAGUGCGAAUGCUGACAUAAGUAACGAUAAAGCGGGUGAAAAGCCCGCUCGCCGGAAGACCAAGGGUUCCUGUCCAACGUUAAUCGGGGCAGGGUGAGUCGACCCCUAAGGCGAGGCCGAAAGGCGUAGUCGAUGGGAAACAGGUUAAUAUUCCUGUACUUGGUGUUACUGCGAAGGGGGACGGAGAAGGCUAUGUUAGCCGGGCGACGGUUGUCCCGGUUUAAGCAUGUAGGCUGGUUAUCCAGGCAAAUCCGGAUAAUCAAGGCUGAGGUGUGAUGACGAGGCACUACGGUGCUGAAGUAACAAAUGCCCUGCUUCCAGGAAAAGCCUCUAAGCAUCAGGUAACAUCAAAUCGUACCCCAAACCGACACAGGUGGUCAGGUAGAGAAUACCAAGGCGCUUGAGAGAACUCGGGUGAAGGAACUAGGCAAAAUGGUGCCGUAACUUCGGGAGAAGGCACGCUGGUGUGUAGGUGAAGUCCCUGCGGAUGGAGCUGAGACCAGUCGAAGAUACCAGCUGGCUGCAACUGUUUAUUAAAAACACAGCACUGUGCAAACACGAAAGUGGACGUAUACGGUGUGACGCCUGCCCGGUGCCGGAAGGUUAAUUGAUGGGGUUAUCCGUAAGGAGAAGCUCUUGAUCGAAGCCCCGGUAAACGGCGGCCGUAACUAUAACGGUCCUAAGGUAGCGAAAUUCCUUGUCGGGUAAGUUCCGACCUGCACGAAUGGCGUAAUGAUGGCCAGGCUGUCUCCACCCGAGACUCAGUGAAAUUGAACUCGCUGUGAAGAUGCAGUGUACCCGCGGCAAGACGGAAAGACCCCGUGAACCUUUACUAUAGCUUGACACUGAACAUUGAGCCUUGAUGUGUAGGAUAGGUGGGAGGCUUUGAAGCGUGGACGCCAGUCUGCGUGGAGCCAACCUUGAAAUACCACCCUUUAAUGUUUGAUGUUCUAACGUUGGCCCCUUACCGGGGUUGCGGACAGUGUCUGGUGGGUAGUUUGACUGGGGCGGUCUCCUCCCAAAGCGUAACGGAGGAGCACGAAGGUUAGCUAAUCCUGGUCGGACAUCAGGAGGUUAGUGCAAUGGCAUAAGCUAGCUUGACUGCGAGCGUGACGGCGCGAGCAGGUGCGAAAGCAGGUCAUAGUGAUCCGGUGGUUCUGAAUGGAAGGGCCAUCGCUCAACGGAUAAAAGGUACUCCGGGGAUAACAGGCUGAUACCGCCCAAGAGUUCAUAUCGACGGCGGUGUUUGGCACCUCGAUGUCGGCUCAUCACAUCCUGGGGCUGAAGUAGGUCCCAAGGGUAUGGCUGUUCGCCAUUUAAAGUGGUACGCGAGCUGGGUUUAGAACGUCGUGAGACAGUUCGGUCCCUAUCUGCCGUGGGCGCUGGAGAAUUGAGGGGGGCUGCUCCUAGUACGAGAGGACCGGAGUGGACGCAUCACUGGUGUUCGGGUUGUCAUGCCAAUGGCACUGCCCGGUAGCUAAAUGCGGAAGAGAUAAGUGCUGAAAGCAUCUAAGCACGAAACUUGCCCCGAGAUGAGUUCUCCCUGAGACUUUAAGUCUCCUGAAGGAACGUUAAAGACGAUGACGUUGAUAGGCCGGGUGUGUAAGCGCAGCGAUGCGUUGAGCUAACCGGUACUAAUGAACCGUGAGGCUUAACCUUACAACGCCGAAG
rnacentral:rRNA from 1 species